rnacentral:rRNA from 1 species
UACAGAGGGUGCAAGCGUUAAUCGGAAUUACUGGGCGUAAAGCGUGCGUAGACGGUAGCGUAAGUCGGGUGUGAAAGCCCCGGGCUCAACCUGGGAAUUGCAUUCGAGACUGCUCUGCUAGGGUGCGGAAGAGGGAAGCGGAAUUUCCGGUGUAGCGGUGAAAUGCGUAGAUAUCGGAAGGAACACCAGUGGCGAAAGCGGCUUCCUGGUCCAACACCGACGUUCAGGCACGAAAGCGUGGGGAGCAAACAGG